rnacentral:rRNA from 1 species
UACGUAGGGUGCAAGCGUUGUCCGGAAUUAUUGGGCGUAAAGAGCGUGUAGGCGGCCACACAGGUCAGCUGUGAAAACUCGAGGCUCAACCUCGAGACGUCGGUUGAAACCGUAUGGCUAGAGUCCGGAAGAGGAGAGUGGAAUUCCCGGUGUAGCGGUGAAAUGCGCAGAUAUCGGGAAGAACACCUAUGGCGAAGGCAGCUCUCUGGGACGGUACUGACGCUGAGACGCGAAAGCGUGGGGAGCAAACAGG